rnacentral:rRNA from 1 species
GACGAACGCUGGCGGCGUGCUUAACACAUGCAAGUCAAACGAUGAAGAAGAGCUUGCUCUUCGGAUUAGUGGCGAACGGGUGAGUAACACGUGACUAACCCGCCCCUUUCUCUGGGAUAACGCUCCGAAAGGAGUGCUAAUACCGGAUACUCACAUCGAGGCACAUGCCUUGAUGUGGAAAGUUUUUCGGAAAGGGAUGGAGUCGCGGCCUAUCAGCUUGUUGGUGAGGUAACGGCUCACCAAGGCGACGACGGGUAGCCGGCCUGAGAGGGCGACCGGCCACACUGGGACUGAGACACGGCCCAGACUCCUACGGGAGGCAGCAGUGGGGAAUAUUGCACAAUGGGCGAAAGCCUGAUGCAGCGACGCCGCGUGAGGGAUGAAGGUCUUCGGAUUGUAAACCUCUUUCAGUAGGGACGAAGCGAAAGUGACGGUACCUAAAGAAGAAGCACCGGCUAACUACGUGCCAGCCGCCGCCGUAA